rnacentral:rRNA from 1 species
UGGGGAAUAUUGCGCAAUGGGGGAAACCCUGACGCAGCGACGCCGCGUGCGGGAUGAAGGCCUUCGGGUUGUAAACCGCUUUUGAUUGGGAGCAAGCUUUCGGGUGAGUGUACCUUUCGAAUAAGCGCCGGCUAACUACGUGCCAGCAGCCGCGGUAAUACGUAGGGCGCAAGCGUUAUCCGGAAUUAUUGGGCGUAAAGAGCUUGUAGGCGGUUCGUCGCGUCUGGGGUGAAAGCCCAUCGCUUAACGGUGGGUUUGCGCCGGGUACGGGCGGGCUAGAGUGCAGUAGGGGAGACUGGAAUUCCCGGUGUAACGGUGGAAUGUGUAGAUAUCGGGAAGAACACCAAUGGCGAAGGCAGGUCUCUGGGCUGUUACUGACGCUGAGAAGCGAAAGCGUGGGGAGCGAACAGG